CUUGAGUAACUUUUGGGGAACACAACAGUCAAGGUGACUCAUCCCCUCAUUACGAUCUCUUCCUGCAGGAAUGUCGACACGGCGCCUUUCAGAGGUCGUGUUUCAUUAAGACGGACACUAGCACACGGUGCCAGCCGGAGGAAGAGGACGACUGAGGACUCGUUCCUGAGAGCUUCAAGAAUACAUCAGCAAACGCUCAUCGAUGAACUUCUUCCACUCCGGCUUCUCGUUGCCGAGGUCGCGGUAGUUGUCGUUGGAGACGAUGAUGCCCUCGGACUCGUAGGCCAGUUUGACGAUGAAGCGGUCGUCGUAGCAAACCACGCGGCGUCCCUGCACGCGGCGCGAGGGAGUGAAGACCAGGAUCUUCUCUUUCUCCAGCCGCCGGAGAAUGUCCUGGUCUGAAGACGGAGACGGGAUACAGUUACACAUGCAGCAGAGGAUCAGCGACAUCCUUCCGGUGUCAUUUCAUUGAGACUUUGCAUCAUCAGCUGUUACCUGUGAUGAGUGCAUCAGGGCGGGACUGCUCUUUUCUCCAGGCAGGGACAAAAACAGUGAUGUCACGAUGACCUCGGUCCAAGAACCAAUCGACAGCCAGCUGGAUGCCUUGGCAGGAAAACACUUCCUUAUUUCCAUGACUGCAGGAGCAGAAAGACAUGUUAAACAAUCAGUGUUGUCCUAAUUUAAAACACUGUGACAUUUUUUAUUUUGCUUUCUAGAGCUACACAACAGUUUGUUUUCAUUAUAACAGGAACAUUGGACUGUAUUAGUUAUUAGACUUUUAUGCAAGACGUUUUACUCAUUUAUAUAUCAGUCGAAAUCAGCAAAAAAAUGACCAACACACAACAUCUUUGGUCAAAAGAAAUGUUGCGACAGUUGACAGUUAAUGAUAUAAUUGAAAAUAUGAAUAUAUUGUCAUAAAAAGUGGUAUUGAUAUUGGUAUUUCUAUAUUAUAAUAUCUCACAUAGCCCUUGCAUUACUCCAAAGUACCCUUAGGGGCACUAGUAGUAGAGAAACACUGCUUUGGUCAUACUUGCACGUGGCACUGAAGAGUGCAACCAACAAAAAGCCAUAAACUAAACU